rnacentral:rRNA from 1 species
UACGUAGGGGGCUAGCGUUGUCCGGAAUCAUUGGGCGUAAAGCGCGUGUAGGCGGUCCGGUAAGUCCGCUGUGAAAGUCGGGGGCUCAACCCUCGGAUGCCGGUGGAUACUGUCGGGCUUGAGUACGGAAGAGGCGAGUGGAAUUCCCGGUGUAGCAGUGAAAUGCGUAGAGAUCGGGAGGAACAUCAGUUGCGAAGGCGGCUCUCUGGACCAGCACUGACACUGAGGCACGAAAGCGUGGGGAGCAAACAGG